rnacentral:rRNA from 1 species
AAUUUAAAAAUUAAUAAUUUUAAAUUUAAUAAAAGUAAUUUUAAUAUUAAAAUAAAUAAUGGGGGUUAAAGUAUUUUAAUAGAAAAAAUUAGAAAAUUUAUAGUAAAUUAGUAUAGUAAUAGAAAUUUGAAAUAUAUGAAAAAUAAUUUUAAAAAAAGUAAAUUUAAAUUGUUGUAUCUUGUGUAUCAGAGUUUAUUAAAUAAAAUUUUUUUAUAAAAAUAUCUCGAAUUUAAAAGAGUUAAUUAAUUAAUAAAGUUAAUGUAAAAUAAUUAUUUUAAAUAAUUAAUUUGAAAUGAAAUGUUAAUCGUUUUUAAAUAUAUCUAGUUAUUUUAGAAAAAAAUUUAAUUUUAAAUUUAUUUAUUUAAUAUAUUAAUUAAAUUAAUAUUAAAAGAAAUAAAUUUUAUAAUUUAAGGGAUAAGCUUUAAAUUAAAUUAUUAUAAUAAACAAUUUAAUUAAAUAAAAUUUUUAAAAUUUAAAUUGUUUAAAAAUUAAAGUUUAUUAUAAAAAAUUUUAUUAAAAAUAAAAUUUAAAUUAAAUUUAAUUUUUUAUAAAAAUAUAAUUUUUAAUAUAAGUAAUUUAGUAGUAAUGAUAAAAUUAGUAUAAUAAAAUGAAUAUAAGGUAAAUUUAUAAAAAUUUAAAUAAAAGGAAUUCGGCAAAAAUUAUAUUCACCUGUUUAACAAAAACAUGUCUUUUUGAAAAAUAAUUUAAAGUCUAAUCUGCCCACUGAUUUUAUAUUAAAGGGCUGCAGUAUAUUGACUGUACAAAGGUAGCAUAAUCAUUAGUCUUUUAAUUGAAGACUUGUAUGAAGGAUUUGAUGAAAUAUUGACUGUCUCUUAUUUAUUUAUAGAACUUAAUUUUUUAGUUAAAAAGCUAAAAUGUAAUUAAAAGACGAGAAGACCCUAUAGAGUUUUAUAAUUAUUUAUUUAAAAUAUCUAUAUAAAAUUUUAAUAUUUAAAAUAAAUAAUUAUUAUAUUGGGGAGAUAAAAAAAUUAAUUAAACUUUUUUUAAAAUGUAACAAAAAUAAAUGAUUAAAUGAUCCAUAGAUAAUGAUUAUAAGAAAAAAUUACCUUAGGGAUAACAGCGUAAUAUUUUUUUUUAGUACAAAUAAAAAAAAAAGUUUGCGACCUCGAUGUUGGAUUAAGAUAAAAUUUAGAUGCAAAAGUUUAAAAUUUUGAUCUGUUCGAUCAUUAAAAUCUUACAUGAUCUGAGUUCAAACCGGUGUAAGCCAGGUUGGUUUCUAUCUUUAAUAAAAUGAGAUAUUUUA